UAACCUGUUAGUUUGAUGUUGAGCCUUUCUUCUUUGUGUUGAAGACUAACAGUUGUCAGAGGGAGAGGAGUACUCCCCACCCCAUGAUUUAAUUAAAAGGCAUGGAUCAAGACAGCAAAAGGAAUAAAAGAGGGAGCAGAAAGCCAAGAAGGACCCAAGACCAGGGAGGAGCUCCUGUUCCUCCAGUGAACGCUCCACAUCUGUCUGAAGAGACACACGAGAUUGCUGAAGUAAGUGAUCUUUUCUUCUUUUUAAAAGUGAAAUUGUGGAUGCCAUUUAAUUGUCUACUUCGGUUCAUCCUGAAACACCACAAGUGGUAGCAUCAGUGUGACUAAAGAGGUAGAAAUGGGGAAGAGAAUAGGGUUAAGGAAAAUACAAACUUGCCAACCUGUCUUUGUUACUCAAAGCAUUUCUAAGCUAUAUUAAAUACUGUUAUAUGCAGUUUUUAAAAAACUGUAGUACUUUCCCAUUGCUGAAAGGGACUAGAUUUUUUUUUUCACACAUUUGUUUGCUAAACACUACUAGUAUGUUUCUCACUAUCAUUUGUCAUUCUGAUAAAUAUAAGCAAUUCAAGUUCUCAGGAGUUUCAAAACUGCAUAGGACAGUGGUAAUGUAGAACAAAAAGGCUGUAGGAAUUUAUACUUUGAGGAAUUUCAAGGAAGCUAAUUUAAUGGAAGGAUUGAUAUUGUAACUUAUAGCAGGCAGGAAACUUCACCAAUUAGAAGAGAAACUGUACUUUUUGAAAACACUCCUGUGAUCUUGAAGGUAGCACUAAGCCUUCAUGCUGGAUAUAAAUGGUCUCCAUAAAAUGCAAAUAUGCCAAAAAGCUCUUUUAGCAUGUGAUUGUGAAAGAUUUCAAUGACCAAAAUUCAAGUAACUUCUUAAUUUGCACUUCAGUCAGUAUCUUGUACAUAGAUUGCAGACUUGUCUCCCAUGAGUGGUCAUUAGGCAUUGGAUGAUUAGCAAGCAGUACUUCUAAAAGGGGAUGAUGUCUACAACUACUGAGGAUAUAAGACAGUUCUUUAAAUAUGCAUUGAAACUUGAAAGGAAUUUGGAAAUUCCUCAGAGGUUGAAGCAUGUAUAUGGUUUCUCUGCAGUUCACUUGUUUCUGUGAAGUACUGAGGCCUGAACAAUAGGCCCUGAGCUGAAGUUUGCUCUCAAUGAACCUUCCAACCAAAUGUUGCCUAAUAUUUGUAUCCACUUAUUAGUGAGAGAUGCAUGAUCAUUAGAAAACAUGUAGUGUGAUAAGAAUAUAUUUCUUCCUGUGUUUAGAGCCCAGUCAGGGCCAUGAAAUCAGAUACCUGGCCUUGUUUGGAAGUA
rnacentral:lncRNA from 1 species